rfam:Tetranychus urticae London genomic scaffold, scaffold_2
GUCUUUUUCGAAAUUUAGGCAACCAUAAGAAUGACAAUGUAAUACAGUAAUUAUUGCCGCUCUUAUGAUUGCACGAAUUUCGCAGAAGCGGC